ensembl:rRNA 5S_rRNA 5S ribosomal RNA
GCUUACAGCCGUGCCACUCGCAUGUUUCGUCUGAUCUCAGAAGCUAAGGAAUGUCGGGGCUAGUUAGUACUUGGAUGAGAGACCUCAUAAUACCAGGUACUGUAAGCU